rnacentral:rRNA from 1 species
AAGCAUCGCGGGAAUUACCCCGUCCGAUCCCCGGAGGCGACGCAGCGUCUGGAUCGUUCACACACACAUGCACGACUUCUUCAGCUAAUGGCGGCUUGUGCUAUGCGGGCCUAUAUAUCUUGCCUCCCGCCAUUUCCUGUUCCUCACGUUCGCGCGCGCUAGCUGCAGCCUCUCACUCGCCACCAUUGUUGUUUGUUCCACAGGGAUGAAGGAUGAUCGAUGCGCCAAGCUGGUUGGGAUCACUAGGUGUGGCAACUUUUGUAGGAAGUUAUUAUGGAUUUUCUACUUCUUACACUGGUUAAUUGAUGGUCUCUGCAUUUUCUCGACGCAGGAGCGCUACGAAGACGAUCAGCCAUAUAUAUGGCAGUACUGUAUAUCCUCUAGGCCGUUAAUGUUACCGGAGAGAUUGUAUACAGGAUUGACUGGGCGGAAUGCUGAUCUGACCAAAAUGUCUAAGAGCCUGCUCUGAAAAACAGCUCAACAAUCUGGAAUAAUUGGCCCUAGCAAGCGAAGAAAAGAUCUAACAAAACUUACCUCGUGAUUUGGGCAUUUCACUUAGUCGAGAUUGUCGACCUUUGACUUGAAAUUCCAGAGGGCAGUCAUGGCACUUCAUCAAUGGUACUUGUGGAUUGAACGAGGAGGACGAUGCUCCCAAGUCCCAAGCUAUCAAUCAUGGUCAAUAGUGGGAGUAGAGGCCCGACAAAGAAGAGGAGAAAACAGAGUCAUUUUGAAGCCUUUAGGAUUGUAGAUCAAAACAUUUAACCGAUACAGGUGGGAAGGAUUUACGCCAAAACCAGAUGGCGGACGUGGUGUCACUAAAAAUGUCUGCACAAUUUGACACCUAGCUAUAUGUGUGCUCGUGACUAAAAUGAGUCACCUAUGUACUCCCUAUUAUGUUGCAUACUCUCUUCGUUUUUAUUUAC